rnacentral:lncRNA from 1 species
AUGGCGCGUCCAUUCAUCUCCUUCCUGUUUUCAGCAAGAAAACCCCACUCUGCUUGUGAGGCUGUCUUUACGCCAAUGCUGCAAAACAGAGAUCCCUGCAAUUCUCAUUCUGAACUUUGUGAAACCCAUAAAACUACCGUCAAGAUGUCCGCUGGACUCAGCAGGCUGAGCCAGGCCACCUUGCUGAAGGCUACUCCUCCUUCUAAUUAUGAAGCUCCAUCUACAGAACUCACAAAAGCCAGUGAGGCAGAAAGCAGAAGACGGUGGAUUCCACUUGCUGGAUUUACAGCUCAGACUCCUGGGGUAAACCAGUCGGAACAGACUCCAUCCGCCAGGGCAUUAGCAUGUAAACAGUGUCACCUCCAGGAAGACGCAGGGCUCCUAGAGGCCGCGCUAAUGGAAAGUGAUAUUGAGUUUGCUAAUUCAGAUAACGGUGCGCACACUGCCUUUUCUCCAAAGCACGGAGACUGUCAGAGAAACAAAUGCGUGGUCCAUGUUGCAAUUAAUUUGAUUCUUGUUCUUUUAAGGCUGUACUUGUAGAUUUAAUUAAAGCUUUCACAUACUGGGCACAUUCAGGAAGGAUGUGAAUUUAAUGGCUGCUUUUGAAUGAAAGCAGCAGUAGAAGCUAUGACUGAAACAGUAACAGGCAAUCAUAAGGCGAAGAUAUUUUUAAUAAGAAAGUAUGUUCCUUCUCACUCAGGUAGCAAGUCAUUUUUUAUUUUAAUAAGAGAGCAAGCUGUACUUUGCGUACACACACUUCCUCCCUCUGCCUCCUGGCCAUGGUCUCUGGGCUAAACACUCCUCCCCUCGCUCUCACCGUGGGCUAAUACUACCUGGUUACUGAUUUCUUUUAUCAAAUUAACUGUAAUUCUUAUGCUGUGAAACCCCAGACCCAUCUCUCCUUGCUCUUAUAAAAUCAAUCCUAAUCUUGUUUUGUAAACAGACUAGUACCUCUUGUCUAAGAGCAGUGCACAUGCACUAAGAGGAAAGGAAAACUGGGGGACGGGUCUGCCCAUUCCAGGUGUCCUGGAAAAUUAUGUGGCUGUCCCUGUGAUACGCCAGCAGCACACACGCCACCACCCGUGCACUUUUUGUAUCUGAACAUCCCACCCUAAUUGCCAUCUCCUCCGUGAUGUCUUCCUGACUUCUCCACCUGAAAGCACAUCUCCCCUCUGGGCUGGCAGUCAUUUCCCAGGUGCCGCCCUGUCCCGUCAUCUGCACCCCAACCCUCUGUGUGGGUGUGGCGUGCUUCCCACUACACUACAGGACCCCAGGUGAUUCUGGCAUGUGCUGUCCCUACAGCACCAGCUCGGUGCCCUGAAGAUGUAGGCGCCCCACGUAUUCAUUACGCGUGUGAAAGUCUCUCCCCUGCUCCUAAUCACCGACCUGAAAGCGGUCAUGCAAAGCAGGAGGAAGUUGUAAAGGAAUCCCAAACGCAGACAAGGUGUUCCUGUGCGUGUACAUGAGAGAAUUAUGCAUGCACACACACAGGCACAGGGAGUGGUAACAGUGCCGAGGGAGUUGGCUCUGUCUCCCUCUAAGACCAGGCCAAAUGGCAUUCAUUUCAUGACAGUCUCAAGGCACUGGCAGAGUCAGCACCUCAGCACUGUGCUCCUCUGAUUCUUCCUCCCCUUCAGCUGGCUCUCCUGAAGGUGGGCACAAAUAUUUCUGGGUUCCAGCCAGCACCCAUGGUUCCAACCUUACUCAGAGUUGGGGCUCUCUUACAGGCAGGAACGGCUGCAGCCCAUCCAGCCCUCUGGGCAGUGGUUCCUGUACACAGUAAGGACCCCUACCAUGGGGAACUGGUGGUCCUGAUCCUGAGCCUCCCAUUCCGAGCCACUGUGUCUGGAGAGAUGACUAAGACAGUUCCUCCUGGAGCAUCCCAGAGUGCUCUGUGGCAAAGAGUCUUGGAAUGACGUGUCUUUGUAGCUGAACACACAUGAAUUUCCCAAGCACUGAAGACCCUGCGCAACUGAGGGGCUGUAACAGCAAGGCCACCAAACAAAGGUGGGUGAGCUGAACCUCAACUCAGUCGCAGAGAGCGGGUGAGACUCUAAGGCAGGGAAGUUCACACACAGGGAGAGUCAGGUUUAUCUGUAUGACUUGUUUUCUCUCAUCCAUCCAAGGCCGAGUGACAAGAGGGUAAUCAUCUGAAGUUAAGUGUUGGCCCAUCCUUUCUAAGUUUACAUUUCUCCUUUAAGGCAAUGGAACAGUGUGGACGAUACAAGGGCGAUCUUAAGUCUUUAGUACUAGAAGGGAGCAGCAGAGGGCAAGAUCAGAUGCACCGGAAAAUGCAAUUAAUAGGUUUCAAACUUUGUUUGCUGCCACAGUGUAAAUUCCAUAUAAUAAUUUCCCUUAAUUGAAGGCUUCCCAUCUGACAAGCUGCAGUGUAUCUCAGGGAAUUUAAUUAAUUGUUCAAGAGCUCUCUUCUAAGUGUUACUCGAUUUAACUCAUCCUCUGCUAUAAAGGUCAGUUUGGAAUAUCAGAACCCUAGAAGAAUUUCCCAGAUCGAUCCCGAUCCUUUCUUCCUGCGCUGUUGUUGGAAAUGGGAAUGCAGCACGAGUGUACCUGGUAGAAGUGCAGGGAUUUUCAGAAGAUGAACACUGGUCAGUAAAGCAAGCCAGAGUGACUCUGUCCCUCUUUCCAACCUCCAGGUUUAGUCCAUUUUCCCGGGUAAUCAGAGCAGCCUGGGCUAACCCAGGUCUCCCAAGUCAAAGGGGCACAGGAAGGAAAGCCAUGGACAGCAGAUGCCGUAUCCUCUCCGGACUCCAGUUCUUUUACCAUGUCCCCAGUUUGUGCCCUCCCGACAGAGGCCCAAGCUGUUAUUGAGCACCAUUUCCUCAUUUCUCAUAGCCCUGCACCCACUGCAGACCAGUGGCAUCUGGUUCAAUAUUUCAUUAAAUCCUCCUGAAAACUAACAGUUCAAUCUAUUACAAAACUACAGUUCCUGAGCCACAUAAAUUACCUCGCGGGCCGUGGCUGCAGCAGCAGCCAUCCAGCCCAUUUGCUUGGAGACUUUUAGAGCCACGGAGUUUCUGCACAUUGUGGAUGCCAGAAGCGUAACCCAUACAGGCCUCUCACACAGCAAACACUGAAGUGUAAAAAAAAAAAAAAAACUUCCUUAGCAAGAAAAGGUUAUUUAGGCCUGAGAUCAAUGAGUCCUGCAUUCCGCCUUAAUUACCCAUGAACUGAGUGCGCACCGUCUUGGAGGUUUUUGUCCGGCCACUCCUCUUGCCUAAGCAUCAUCCAGGCUUCUCUGGGGCCUCAGCAAUGACCAGAGAGCAUUUUAUCAGAUGGCCCCGUGGAAGGCUGCACUCCACAGGAAAUCUGCAGCUCUGUCUGCGGCGGGGGAAGUUACGAGCAGAAGUCAGACAGAUGGACAGCUUCACCUCAGACGGGUCGGCGCUCCCCACCAGCAGCCAGUCACCCCACCUCGAAUGUCGUUGUCACUUCACAAGUUUGAGAAGCUGGGCACUUCAUGGCCACCUGAAGCCUCAGGAGGCUGCGGUCUCACCUCUUCUACUCCAUUGGGGUAGUAAUGCCAGAGCCUGGGAUGCUUCCAGGGCCGGACGGCGUGGACAUCCGUGCAUCAGGAAUCCCUGUAAUUUGCUCCUUUAGUGAGUUUCUCUGCCUCCCCCAGGCAAUGAGUGUGUGAUUAUCUGUGAUGAUCAUCAGAAAAGUAGGCAAAUCUUUGCACAGUACUGCUAUGGGCCCCACACAGAUCAACUGCAGGCCUACGACAGCCUACGCGUCCUAACUUGAGGGCGGCCUUUUUCUUUCUUGAGUGAGUAUAAUCCUCAAUGUCCACCGCACAGACAAUAAUAAAAUAAAGCUUUCAUCACAAGUUCUCAGCUACUCACAAACUGACUGCCUGAUGCUUUGAGGAAGCAAACUGUGGCGCUGGCUGCGAUGAUACGGCUGGCAGAGCCACCGUCACUCGGGACUUUUCCAGGAUGGGCCUUUUGUCCGGGCCUUGGGGCUGGCCACAAAGGAAGGCUCCGUGCCUGGUGGAAGGAGCUCAUCUGACUCCCCGUGGUGACGAGGGCGGCCUCGGCUGAGUCACGUGGCCCACACAUCGUCACAGAAUCAUUGAACACCGCACAGUUAGAGUCACCAGAAAGCGUCCCGUGCACGCGAUCUGUGCAGAAACUGUAAAUCUGGCCUUGCAGCGGUGGGUCCCUCCUCCCCAUGCAGCACCUAACACAUCUGAGCUGUGGGUUUUUUGCCAUCUACAGAAUGAGAGGUUAGGGAAAGAUGAACUACAAGACUCAUCCAGCUCUUGAAAUUAUAUGCACUUUUGAGCCUGCAUAAUCUUGUGCAUCAAAUGCAUUCCAAAGUGUCAGAAUGAAAAGGAGCAUCUGCACACUAAAGCAAGGUUCCAAACAUUUCACAUUGUUGUUCCAGAAAUAAGUACUUGUUGAAAAAAAUACACCCAACAUUAAAAAAAAAAAAAAUCACAUUUAAGGCAAUUAGUAUCCAUUCAGCCUAUAUGAAUAUAUAUGCUUAGGAGGCAAAAAAAAAGUCACACUAGAAUCAGCCCAGGAGAUUCUCACAGACUACAGACACACACAGACACACACCCGCAGAGUUCGUGUCUUGGGUGAAAUUCUUCCCAAUUCUGUGAAUUACAGGGAAUCUCAUGAUAAGCUACAGAUUAGACAGCUGAGGUUUUCUCCUUGUUGAUAAUGUUGUUCUGAACAAAGGUGCACGAGGCCUAUUACAGUGUUCCAAAAUGGAGUCAGCAAUGGGUGCCUCCCUCAACAGAACUGUUACAUUUCCCUCCACCCCUUGUCCCCGAAGAGAGACUUCUGACUCAUCUGCUAAGCGAUUUUCUGCCUGACUGAACAUUUCUGAUGACAGACUGUUUUGGGCUACGUUGCCCAAUGUGUCUGUGAUAUACGGAACAGGGCUUCCCCACUUUGCUUUAUGGGGGGACAGAAAAGGAACACAGGACACCCGGCUCUCCCUGCUCGGUAUGGUGUCUUGAUGGCAUUUAUCCUUUUCUGUCUCUAUUUCCGUCCACAUACUCACAGCAUUUCUUUACCUA